rnacentral:rRNA from 1 species
AUUGAACGCUGGCGGCAGGCCUAACGCAUGCAAGUCGAGCGGGGUUUUCGGACCUAGCGGCGGACGGGUGAGUAAUGCGUAGGAAGCUACCCGAUAGAGGGGGAUACCAGUUGGAAACGACUGUUAAUACCGCAUAAUGUCUACGGACCAAAGUGUGGGACCUUCGGGCCACAUGCUAUCGGAUGCGCCUACGUGGGAUUAGCUAGUUGGUGAGGUAAUGGCUCACCAAGGCGACGAUCCCUAGCUGGUUUGAGAGGAUGAUCAGCCACACUGGAACUGAGACACUGUCCAGACUCCUACGCUAGGCAGCAGUGGGGGAUAUUGGACAAUGGGCGCGAGCCUGAUCCAGCCAUUCCGCGUGUGUGAAGAAGGCCUUCGGGUUGUAAAGCACUUGCAGUAGGGAGGAAGCGUUGUGUGUUAAUAGUACACAGCGUUGACGUUACCUACAGAAGAAGCACCGGCUAACUCUGUGCCAGCAGCCGCGGUAAAAC